CAGUCUGAUUGGUAUUUUCAUC
rnacentral:miRNA from 14 species